rnacentral:rRNA from 1 species
AAAUUGAAGAGUUUGAUCAUGGCUCAGAUUGAACGCUGGCGGCAGGCCUAACACAUGCAAGUCGAACGGUAACAGAAAGCAGCUUGCUGCUUUGCUGACGAGUGGCGGACGGGUGAGUAAUGUCUGGGAAACUGCCUGAUGGAGGGGGAUAACUACUGGAAACGGUAGCUAAUACCGCAUAAUGUCGCAAGACCAAAGAGGGGGACCUUCGGGCCUCUUGCCAUCGGAUGUGCCCAGAUGGGAUUAGCUUGUUGGUGGGGUAACGGCUCAC